CGGAGCCCUGGCGAGGGGAAGCGCGCGGGCCGCUCCAACUGGCCCGAGGCCGACAAGAUUCGCCGUUUCGCGCGGCCGUCCCGGC
rnacentral:tRNA from 1 species